rnacentral:rRNA from 1 species
AUCGAACGCUGGCGGCAUGCUUUACACAUGCAAGUCGAACGGCAGCGGGGUAGUGCUUGCACUACUGCCGGCGAGUGGCGAACGGGUGAGUAAUAUAUCGGAACGUACCGAGUAAUGGGGGAUAACCAAUCGAAAGAUUGGCUAAUACCGCAUACGUCCUGAGGGAGAAAGCGGGGGAUCGCAAGACCUCGCGUUAUUCGAGCGGCCGAUAACUGAUUAGCUAGUUGGUGGGGUAAAGGCCUACCAAGGCGACGAUCAGUAGCGGGUCUGAGAGGACGAUCCGCCACACUGGGACUGAGACACGGCCCAGACUCCUACGGGAGGCAGCAGUGGGGAAUUUUGGACAAUGGGGGCAACCCUGAUCCAGCCAUGCCGCGUGUAUGAAGAAGGCCUUCGGGUUGUAAAGUACUUUUGUUAGGGAAGAAAAGGGAAGUGCUAACACCACUUUUUGCUGACGGUACCUAAAGAAUAAGCACCGGCUAACUACGUG